CCUACGGGAGGCUGCAGUGAGGAAUAUUGGUCAAUGGCCGGGAGCCUGAACCAGCCAAGUCGCGUGAGGGACGACGGUCCCAAGCAUUGUAAACUUCUUUUGUCGAGGAACAAAGUCAGCCACGAGUGGCUGACCGAGUGUACUUGAAGAAAAAGCAUCGGCUAACUCCGUGCCAGCAGCCGCGGUAAUACGGAGGAUGCGAGCGUUAUCCGGAUUUAUUGGGUUUAAAGGGUGCGUAGGCGGACUGUUAAGUCAGCGGUAAAAAGGCGGGGCUCAACCCCGUACAGCCGUUGAAACUGGCAGUCUUGAGUGGGCGAGAGGAAAGCGGAAUGCGAGGUGUAGGGGUGAAAUGCGUAGAUAUUGGGAAGAACACCAGUGGCGAAGGCGGCAAUCUGGCGCAGAUCUGACGCUGAGGAGCGAAAGCGUGGGUAGCGAACAGGAUUAGAUACCCUAGUAGUC
rnacentral:rRNA from 1 species